UACGGGGGGAGCAAGCGUUGUUCGGAUUUACUGGGCGUAAAGGGCGCGUAGGCGGCCACCGCAAGUCAGUUGUGAAAUCUCCGAGCUUAACUCGGAAAGGUCAACUGAUACUGCGGGGCUAGAGUGCGGAAGGGGCAACUGGAAUUCUUGGUGUAGCGGUGAAAUGCGUAGAUAUCAAGAGGAACACCUGCGGCGAAGGCGGGUUGCUGGGCCGACACUGACGCUGAGGCGCGAAAGCUAGGGGAGCAAACAGG
rnacentral:rRNA from 1 species